GAGCAGUCGGCCAGACCCAGUGCUAGGAGCCAGCUCUGCCCCUCCGCGUCCCUGGAAAGCGUGGAGAGUCUCAAGUCUGAUGAAGAAGCCGACAGCGCGAAGGAGCCUCAGAAUGAAUUGUUUGAAGUCCAAGGAAGCAGGUGGAGCAGAUGGCCAGGGAGCGAGAUAAGGUGAGACAAGACCUGGAGAAAGCUGAGCAGAGGAACCUGGAGUUUGUGAACGAGUCCGACGACCUCCAUUCCGCCCUGGAGCAUCUCGCGGAGGAGAAGGUCAGAAUCAAGUUGGAAAAGCUUUCUGAAGAAAUCACGCUCUUGAAAAAUGAGGUGGGGAAGAUCCGACAAGAGCUUGAAGCCUCAGAAAGGACAGAGGCUGCACAGAGGUGGAUUUUUUACCGUCUGAACUACCAGGAAAUGGAGUGUGGGCAUCAGAUAAAUGGACUCUUUAGAAAUCGUGAGCUUUCCUGGACACGCCCUUACCUUGUGGGGUGGCCUACCAGCUGUAUGGAGCCACCCAGAAGCUGUGGCUGGCCCGGUCCCAGCACGCCCAGCGGGUGCAGCAGUCGCAGGAGGAGAUGGCACAGCGCAUGCCCACAGGCCGCGUGGCCGAGCUGCAGCAGCUGCUGGAAGGGGAGCAGCGGGCAGCUUGGCAGCUCCAGGAGGAGGCGCAGGAAGCACAUGAAAAACAGCUGGAAGCAACAGAAGAGCAGGUGGAGGAGGUGGAGAUGACUUUGAAGAACAUGGAAGUGCUCCUCCAAGAGAAAGUGGGUGAGCUGAAGGAACAGUUUGAAAAGAGCACAGGAUCUGAUCUGCUGCUCAAGGAGCUCUAUGUGGAAAAUGCCCACCUGACAAAAGCGCUUCAAGUCACUGAGGAGAAGCAACGAGGCACUGAGAAAAAGUCCCGAUUCUUGGACGGAAAAGUUAGAACUCUCAGCAAACUCCUCAGCAAGAUUGCUGAAGCUUCCCUCGCUGUUUAGACUGCUUUUCUUCCUGGCGUUCAUUUUGAAGGAACGUCUAUUAAAGUAAACCACUGUGACACCGUAACUUAUUGUGGCUCACUGGCUGUACACCCCUGGAUAAAUGAGGAUUGUGAUUCUGUUUACCCCACAAGCAUUUAAUGAAGGGUUGUGUGCCAAAUGCCUGGGAAACAUGUUGGAGAGGACUAUUUUUUUUUUUAGUGGUCCUUGGGUAACUUCCAGAGUUACAUUCCGAAUUUUGCUACUGAAAAACAAACCAGAUUAUGGGGUUCUCAGCAAGGUAAAUGGUAAAAUAAAGCAAUUUUAAUCUUGCACUUCUGACCUUGGCUACAGAGAUUAAAAUGUGAAGUCAGGGCUCUGUAGUUUUACCAUUGCACUGUUAGUUCUAUGGGUUUAGUCUCUGGCAUUCUCGAUGGUGGAUCGGUGUAGACACUCCAGAAACGCUACACUUUCUGUGACUUUCAACUAGCGAUAAGGGAUAGAGGAAGGAAGCCUUUUUGUCAGGGCCUGUUCCACCACGAGGGAGGUCUAGACAGUGCUGGUGUUUCAGAGCUGUGGACUCAGGGAGGAUGGUAUCGUAUCCAUUGUGAAUGCAAUCUUUUCCUCACUGAAAUGUCAUCACACUGCAAAGUGUAUUAUAUGUUAAAAACCAGGAAAAAAGUACAGUUUUAUAUUCAAGAUAUACAUAAAUUAUGAUCAUUUGGUUGAUCAGAAUUAACUACUGUAAUAUGAAUUUACUGUAUCUGCAAUAAAAUCCUUUUCUAUUAAAAUAGA